rnacentral:rRNA from 1 species
CCUACGGGAGGCUGCAGUGAGGAAUAUUGGUCAAUGGACGAGAGUCUGAACCAGCCAAGUAGCGUGAAGGAUGACUGCCCUAUGGGUUGUAAACUUCUUUUAUAUGGGAAUAAAAUGUUCCACGUGUGGGAUUUUGUAUGUACCAUAUGAAUAAGGAUCGGCUAACUCCGUGCCAGCAGCCGCGGUAAUACGGAGGAUGCGAGCGUUAUCCGGAUUUAUUGGGUUUAAAGGGGGCGUAGGCGGAUUUUUAAGUCAGUGGUAAAAUGUCCGGGCUCAACCUGGGACGGCCGUUGAAAAUGGGGGUCUUGAGUGGGGGUGAAGUAUGCGGAAUGCGUGGUGUAGCGGUGAAAUGCAUAGAUAUCACGCAGAACUCCGAUUGCGAAGGCAGCAUACCGGCGCCCGACUGACGCUGAUGCACGAAAGCGUGGGGAUCGAACAGGAUUAGAUACCCCAGUAGUC